UUAUCACUCUAGGGGCGCUGUAAAGCUGAGAGAGACGAAUGUCUUAACCCUUAUAACCUGAUCUAGAUCAUACUAGCGUAGGGAAGAAGUGCGGAUAUAUA
rnacentral:ncRNA from 2 species